UUGUCUCUCUUAUCUCUUGCCUAAUUUGUCCUUUCUUCCAAUGGUUCUCUUUCGCUUUUAUUCUUCUUCAUCGAUUUCAUAUCUGUAGAAACCAGAUCUCUUUCCAUACUCCUCUUGCAUGUUUGAUUUUCUUGCCACUCAUUCUUUCCCUUGCGCUCAUUCUUCAGUUUUUCACUCCAUUUGCUUUCAUUAUUCUUCUAACCCUUUACAGAUCUAUAGAUCUAUGUGAUUGUGGUUGGCAGGCGAUCUUGUUUGAAGUGUAUGAUAGGGGCUGAAGGACAGAGCAUGGUAGGGAGGAGGCCAUAGGAUUUGAGAAAGCGGAGCAAAUGAUGUUCUUGAAGUUGGAGUUUUGGAAGAAAGCUUGUAUCUUCAAACGAGCUUCAAUCUUUGAGAGUGAUCGACUUUAGGAGUUGGGAGUCUUCUAGCUCUUGGAAGAAUUCUCUCUAGACCUUUUGGAGUCCAAAAAAUUUUGUCCCUACAAAUGAAGAGAACUCCUCUAUUUAUAGAGUUCCUUAAUGGGUUUUUAUGGACUUGGGCCUAGUGUGGUCCAUGGACCAUACCCGUGGGCUCAAUCACAUAGAUUUAGGUCAUAUUUAAUUUUGGGCUAAAUUAAGCUCAUUUUUGGACUCAAUUGAAUUUUAAGCCAAGUAAAUAAUAUUUAAUUAAACCAAAA